rnacentral:rRNA from 1 species
GAUGAACGCUGGCGGCGUGCCUAAUACAUGCAAGUCGAGCGAACAGACGAGGAGCUUGCUCCUCUGACGUUAGCGGCGGACGGGUGAGUAACACGUGGAUAACCUACCUAUAAGACUGGGAUAACUUCGGGAAACCGGAGCUAAUACCGGAUAAUAUAUUGAACCGCAUGGUUCAAUAGUGAAAGACGGUUUUGCUGUCACUUAUAGAUGGAUCCGCGCCGCAUUAGCUAGUUGGUAAGGUAACGGCUUACCAAGGCAACGAUGCGUAGCCGACCUGAGAGGGUGACCGGCCCCCCUGGACUUAGGCCCCGUCCCAACCUCCUCGGGGGGGCCGCAGAGGGGAUCUUUCCGAAAGGGGCGAAACCCUGCGGGACAAACCCCCGUGGGUGAAUGAAGGUUUUCGGUUGUAAAAACCUUUUUUUUGGGAAAAAAAAAUUUGUAAGGUAACAAUCCCCGUUUUGACGGAACUUAACCAAAAACCCCGGCUAACCUCCGG